rfam:Aureobasidium pullulans var. pullulans EXF-150 unplaced genomic scaffold scaffold_5, whole genome shotgun sequence.
GCCGUGGUAGUGUAGUGGUUAACAUACCCGUGGUCUUAACACGUGCGCAGUCAUUCGUUGUUACUCAACGCCGUGUCAGUCUAGAUCCGAGGAGGUCGGGGGUUCGAUUCCUUCCCAUGGUG